rnacentral:rRNA from 1 species
AUGCGGCCGUCGCUGCUGACGAGGACAUCGCUGGUGAGCGCGGUGGCAGCCAUCGACGACCUCGAGCGUGUGGGCGCGUUGGUGAGCGCGGCGGCGGCCGUGGCCGUGGCCGUGGCCGAGCUCGAGCGCUGGCACAGCGGCGCGUUGUUGAGCACGGCGGCGGCCCGACCAUGGCCGAGCUCGAGCGUCUCAGUCUCCGAUGGCUCCUGCGCGUGCCGCUCCUGGGUUUUGAAGAGCCACUGUUUGUUCCAUUCGUCGAGGAUUCGACCGUCCUGCCGACUACUGCUGCGUCGAGGUGUUGCAAGGCUUCGGGUGUGUGACAUUUCCUGGCUGAUGUGGUCCAAGGGCAAUUAUCAAGUGGUCGGGGUUGCGGAGGAGAAUGUGAGGUUUCAGAAUAAUCUCCCACCACCACCACGAUUCAUAUCUGGAGAAGCUUUGUGGAAUCCGUGGUUUUGUCCUUCUCAUACUAUGGUUGCUGGCCUAUGGGGAAUCAGGAUGGACAUUGAGCAAAGUGGCAGAAGCGGGUGGCGGGUGUUGUGGCCGAGGAGCUCCACCACACACCCACAUGUUCGCUUGUUGACCUGGCAGCUCUUCACCGAGGUUUGCUGCUUUGGUUUGGCUGGGAUGUGUGCCUCCAUGGUUGGGUUGUGUGGACUGCUGGCAAGGAUGGAGAAGCAUAGGAAGGUGUCACCAUUGCAUAGAUUCUAUUAUAGCCAUGCUAGCUACUUGGCCAUGUCAUUUUGUUCACACAGGUGUGUCCACAACAACUCUGAUAGUGCCAUGCCGGACACGGUAUCAUUAAACAAGGACUCUUUUGGCGGACUCUUUUAUCACCUGUUUCCUGGCGCUAAGUCUCCAAACAGUUCAGCUUUGCUUCAGUCCUCUCUCGAGGCCAGAGCAGUAACAUGA